rnacentral:rRNA from 1 species
AGAGUUUGAUCCUGGCUCAGAGCGAACGCUGGCGGCGUGCUUAACACAUGCAAGUCGAGUGCGCGUCUGUAGCAAUACAGAUGGCGCACGGCGCACGGGUGCGUAACACGUGGGUAAUCUGCCCUUCGAAGGGGAAUAACUCGCCGAAAGGCGAGCUAAUUCCGCAUAACAUUCCUUGGACUUUGGUUUGAGGACUCAAAGGCGUAAGUCGUCGGAGGAGGAGCCCGCGCACGAUUAGCUAGUUGGUGAGGUAAUGGCUCACCAAGGCUAUGAUCGUUAGCUGGUCUGAGAGGAUGGCCAGCCACACUGGAACUGAGACACGGUCCAGACUCCUACGGGAGGCAGCAGUGGGGAAUCUUGCACAAUGGGCGAAAGCCUGAUGCAGCGACGCCGCGUGGGGGAUGAAGCUUCUCGGAGUGUAAACCCCUUUCGACCCGGACGAAUGCCCCGCAAGGGGACUGACGGUACGGGUAUAAGAAGCCCCGGCUAACUACGUGCCAGCAGCCGCGGUAAGACGUAGGGGGCCAGCGUUGCUCGGAAUUACUGGGUGUAAAGGGUUCGUAGGCGGUGUGGCAAGUCGGGAGUGAAAUCUCUGGGCUCAACCCAGAGUCUGCUUCCGAAACUGCUGUGCUUGAGUGUGGGAGAGGCGCGUGGAAUUGCAGGUGUAGCGGUGAAAUGCGUAGAUAUCUGCAGGAACACCCGUGGCGAAAGCGGCGCGCUGGACCACUACUGACGCUGAGGAACGAAAGCUAGGGGAGCAAACAGGAUUAGAUACCCUGGUAGUCCUAGCCCUAAACGAUCAGGACUUGGGGUGCCACCCGUUCGGGUGUCGUCCCGGAGCUAACGCGUUAAGUCCUGCACCUGGGGAGUACGGUCGCAAGACUGAACUCAAGGAAUUGACGGGGGCCCGCACAGCGGUGGAACAUGUGGUUCAAUUCGACGCUACGCGAGGAACCUUACCUGGGCUCGAAAUGCUUCUGACAAGCUG